CAGAGUGUCUGUGGCCGUGUGGCAGUAUUCAGGGCAUUGCCGAGAUUCAUCCCUCGUGAAGAUGGAGAAGACAAGUUCACGUCCUGGUUCUCAAGGCUUGUGAGUGGGCAUAGAUUUGCAAGAAAAAGCAAGUUAGUAAGUAGGAACAUUUUAUUUUAUUUUAUUUUUUUAAAAGAUUUAUUUAUUUAUUUAUGAUAGACAUAGUGAGAGAGAGAGAGAGAGAGAGGCAGAGACACAGG
rnacentral:lncRNA from 1 species